rnacentral:rRNA from 1 species
AACGAACGCUGGCGGCAUGCCUAACACAUGCAAGUCGAACGAAGCCUUCGGGCUUAGUGGCGCACGGGUGCGUAACGCGUGGGAAUCUGCCCUUGGGUUCGGAAUAACAGUUAGAAAUGACUGCUAAUACCGGAUGAUGUCUUCGGACCAAAGAUUUAUCGCCCAAGGAUGAGCCCGCGUAGGAUUAGGUAGUUGGUGGGGUAAUGGCCCACCAAGCCGACGAUCCUUAGCUGGUCUGAGAGGAUGAUCAGCCACACUGGGACUGAGACACGGCCCAGACUCCUACGGGAGGCAGCAGUGGGGAAUAUUGGGACAAUGGGCGAAAGCCUGAUCCAGCAAUGCCGCGUGAGUGAUGAAGGCCUUAGGGUGUAAAGCUCUUUACCUAGGAUGAUAAUGACAGUACCUGGAG